CAGUCGCCACGGGAAUACGAAGGGUGCAAGCGUUAAUCGGAAUUACUGGGCGUAAAGCGUGCGUAGGCGGUUUGUUAAGUCUGUUGUGAAGUCCCCGGGCUCAACCUGGGAAUGGCAAUGGAUACUGGCAAACUAGAGUGUGUCAGAGGAUGGUGGAAUUCCCGGUGUAGCGGUGAAAUGCGUAGAGAUCGGGAGGAACAUCAGUGGCGAAGGCGGCCAUCUGGGCCAACACUGACACUGAGGCACGAAAGCGUGGGGAGCAAACAGGAUUAGAUACCCCCGUAGUCCCUGUCUCUUAUAC
rnacentral:rRNA from 1 species